AGAGUUUGAUCCUGGCUCAGAACGAACGCUGGCGGCAUGCCUAACACAUGCAAGUCGAACGCGGGGCUUCGGCCCCGAGUGGCGCACGGGUGAGUAGCGCGUGGGAACCUGCCCUGGAGUGGGGGAUAACCGAGGGAAACUUCGGCUAAUACCGCAUGCGCCCGGAGCAAUCCGGGGAAAGAUUUAUCGCUCUAGGAGGGGCCCGCGUCGGAUUAGCUAGUUGGUGGGGUAACGGCCUACCAAGGCGAUGAUCCGUAGCUGGUCUGAGAGGAUGAUCAGCCACACUGGGACUGAGACACGGCCCAGACUCCUACGGGAGGCAGCAGUGGGGAAUAUUGGACAAUGGGCGAAAGCCUGAUCCAGCAAUGCCGCGUGAGUGAGGAAGGCCUUAGGGUUGUAAAGCUCUUUCGGCGGGGACGAUGAUGACGGUACCUGCAGAAGAAGCCCCGGCUAACUUCGUGCCAGCAGCCGCGGUAAUACGAAGGGGGCGAGCGUUGUUCGGAUUUACUGGGCGUAAAGGGCGCGCAGGCGGUCCUGUUUGUCGAGUGUGAAAGCCCCGGGCUCAACCUGGGAACUGCGCUCGAAACGGCGGGACUAGAGUUCGGGAGAGGAGAGUGGAAUUCCCAGUGUAGAGGUGAAAUUCGUAGAUAUUGGGAAGAACACCGGUGGCGAAGGCGGCUCUCUGGACCGAUACUGAGCUGAGGCGCGAAAGCGUGGGGAGCAAACAGGAUUAGAUACCCUAGUAGUCC
rnacentral:rRNA from 1 species